UUUCCGUAGGUGAACCUGCGGAAGGAUCAUUAUUGUAUAACCGAGGUGCGAGGGCUGUCGCUGACCCGAAAGGUCGUGCACGCCUGAGUGCCCUCACACACAUCCAUCUCACCCCUAUGUGCACCACCGCGUGGGUCCCCCUUUGGCUUGUUCGGAGGGGGGCUUACGUUUUCACACAAACUUUGUAUGCAGAGUAGAAUGUAUUUUUUGUUUUUGCGAUCACGCAAUCAAUACAACUUUCAACAACGGAUCUCUUGGCUCUC
rnacentral:misc_RNA from 1 species